UUCGCCUGGUAGUUCAAACAGUUCUAGCUUGACAAAUCUCUAGUCUUUUGGCAAAAUCAGAGUGGUGCCCAUCAUAUAGGGAGAAGAACAGCCACCUAAGGUGAUCAAGUACCUUAUAGUGGAUGGCGUUACCAUAUCGUACAAACUGAGCGGACCCCAGAGUAUGUGAUUAUGGACUCUGCUCCAGAGUUAAAGACUUGGGUAGAGUUCCUGAAGAUAGAGACUCCCAGAGAAGAUGCUAGCCCCUGAGAAGUGAGACAGUACUCCAGAAAACCAGUGGCUUCUAUCUUUGCACCCAGAAGAAGAGAUAUUGUAAACUUCAAAAGGAAGUCUGCCCCAUCAGAUGUUCCUACCUCCAUACCCCAAAACCAGCAGAGCUUGGAAAAAUAUUUGUAAAUCAUAUAUCUCAUAAGGGAUUAAUAUCCAG
rnacentral:lncRNA from 1 species